GAAUAUAUGAGAAGCAAAUCAGAACAAUAUUUCAGCAAUAAAUAUGUUAGUAGGAAAAUAGUAGUUGUGAGUUAAAUAACCAGAAAAUAAUUAUAUAAAUGUCAGCAAGUAAAAUUUAUUGUAUGGUGAAUAAUACAACUAAAUUGGAAUAGCCAUUUAUGCAAUCAACUGUGGGAGAACAACCCUAAAAUGGAAAGAUUGACUGAGAGCAAAUACUCAUUUUGAGGUUAAAGAUGCUGCCACCACAUUUCUGAAUGAAAUAACACCUUUUACAUGGAUAGUAAUGUUACAUAAUACUAAGUGAUUUAGUAUCUAUGUUCAUAGUCUUAGAGCACCAUAAACCUUAUCAGGAAAGGCAGGUUAAAUUGGACAUUUCAGAGAUUUAAUGUUUGAAAAACAAGCUAUGGAAAAAAAAAAAAGGAUAAACAAGAUCUAAGAGUUUGAUAAAUCACUGUCAGAGCUACAAUUGGACUAAGAUAGCAGGUGUAGAAAUAGAGGCCCCGAGGAGACAGAGGAAGCUGAAGAUGAAUGGUAUCAAAUGUUACCUUUAAUGGAAAACAACUUGGACAGAAUGCUCUAAGCACUCAGGUUUCUUUAUUGCAACUUCACUUGUCUUAUUUUCCUUCACCACUUUGAGAGUGAUGCUCUGGAUCUCGGGAGCUUGGCACUGGAGUGAGGCACACAAAGUCUCAUUUCAAGAUGCUUUGCUAUUUUUUUGUAGGCUUCAACCUAAGAGAAGGCCAUAAAAUUGGAACAGUUUAUUGCGCUGGGGCAGAAAGCAUUGUCACUGAGCUGAUAGGCACUACCCUGGUCUCUGAAAAGCCCAGCUUCAUCACAGACAGCUUUAUUUUUACCCUGCAGGCACUCUUGAAGGAUUUGCUAGUAUGAAAGGGAGGCUGAAACAUGUCGACUUUGCCCAAGGAUGUCCAGUUGAAAUCACACUUGGUUGCAGGGGAGAUUGUAACUCCUGGUGGCUUUCUUUGAGUUGGGCUUUAUAUUUCUUUUAUUUUGUUUCAGUUUAUCUUCUACAGAUUUUACACAAUACUUUUCCCCAGAGCUUAACUUUCAGUUUCACCAUGUGGAAACUUUGUUGCUUGAAAACUGAUACAUCUUUGUAAGAAAGGCAUAUGUCUUUCAGAAAAUGAAUUCCGGGGUGAUCAACUUUGUGCCUGUGCAGAUCCCCACUGGGAAGUAAAUGGGAUUCUUAAUGUUUGAUUUUAGGUAUAAAAUGACAUAUAUAUACUAUAAUUACCUCUAAAUAUUUUGACAGAAGUGGAAUACAUUACAUUAUCAUGUUUUAAAUGCCCCAAAUGGAAUGUUUGAAUCUUGAUCAAAUGCAGUAUCUUUGAUUUUGUAAGCCCUACAGGGUAUUACAUAACUCUGAAAAAUUCUUAUUCAUUUUGCUAAUGAAUGAAUAAGGAUUGGAGCUCUUACUUUAUUAAAAGUAUUCUAGGCAUGUGAGGGAUAUAGAAAUAUCUGUCCGAAUUUCUGCCUAUAAAAA
rnacentral:lncRNA from 1 species